rnacentral:rRNA from 1 species
GUGUUGGGAGUCAAAUUUCAGUGCUGCAGUUAACGCAAUAAGUACUCCGCCUGAGUAGUACGUUCGCAAGAAUGAAACUCAAAGGAAUUGACGGGGGCCCGCACAAGCGGUGGAGCAUGUGGUUUAAUUCGAAGCAACGCGAAGAACCUUACCAGGUCUUGACAUCCGGAUAAAGACCUCAGAGAUGAGGGGAUAGAUAUAUCCGAGACAGGUGGUGCAUGGUUGUCGUCAGCUCGUGUCGUGAGAUGUUGGGUUAAGUCCCGCAACGAGCGCAACCCUUGUCGCUAGUUACCAUCAUUAAGUUGGGGACUCUAGCGAGACUGCCAGUGACAAGCUGGAGGAAGGCGGGGAUGACGUCAAAUCAUCAUGCCCCUUAUGACCUGGGCUACACACGUGCUACAAUGGAUGGAGCAGAGGGAAGCGAAGCCGCGAGGUGAAGCAAAACCCAUAAAACCAUUCUCAGUUCGGAUUGUAGUCUGCAACUCGACUACAUGAAGUUGGAAUCGCUAGUAAUCGCGAAUCAGCAUGUCGUGGUGAAUACGUUCUCGGGCCUUGUACACACCGCCCGUCACACCAUGAGAGUUGAUAACACCCGAAGCCGGUGGCCUAACCGCAAGGAGGGAGCUGUCUAAGGUGGGAUUGAUGAUUGGGGUG